GACGAACGCUGGCGGCGUGCCUAAUACAUGCAAGUAGAACGCUGAAGAGAGGAGCUUGCUCUUCUUGGAUGAGUUGCGAACGGGUGAGUAACGCGUAGGUAACCUGCCUUGUAGCGGGGGAUAACUAUUGGAAACGAUAGCUAAUACCGCAUAACAAUGGAUGACCCAUGUCAUUUAUUUGAAAGGGGCAAAUGCUCCACUACAAGAUGGACCUGCGUUGUAUUAGCUAGUAGGUGAGGUAACGGCUCACCUAGGCGACGAUACAUAGCCGACCUGAGAGGGUGAUCGGCCACACUGGGACUGAGACACGGCCCAGACUCCUACGGGAGGCAGCAGUUGGGAAUCUUCGGCAAUGGGGGCAACCCUGACCGAGCAACGCCGCGUGAGUGAAGAAGGUUUUCGGAUCGUAAAGCUCUGUUGUAAGUCAAGAACGAGUGUGAGAGUGGAAAGUUCACACUGUGACGGUAGCUUACCAGAAAGGGACGGCUAACUACGUG
rnacentral:rRNA from 1 species